GACCAUCAGAAGGAGAAGGUGUGUCCAAACUGUACUGCUUCCGUAGUUUCCUGUAGCUGCUGUAGCUCCUCCCCUUCCUCCUCACUGAGGAAGCUGAGCGGUCCAAGGAGUCGCACAGAAGGAGUUUGUGAUGUUUACUUCAUUUUCAGGGCCCACAGCAAAAACCCCUUUUCAAAAACCCUCCAUAUGACGCUGUUCUUGAGGAUCAACAAAAAAGGAAACACGAGUCCAGGAUGAUUUAUAUGCCAGCGUUGUGUUGCUGUUUUUUUGGAAGUACUUGUCAAAGAUCCUCUCCAUGACUGACGAUCCCUGUUGUUUUUAGGGACCUACUGUAAGGAAAUGUUCUUUUCUUUCCCAAGCAAGUGAAAUAAUUUAUGAGUUUUAGGUGAAAGUCAUCCUCCGUAUCUCCGGCAGGCAAUUUAACGCUGAGUCGUGGUCUUCCUACCAGCGGACUAAGACUUUUCCACUGACCGCUUGCUUAGCGGAGGUUAGAAUCCUGCACCCCAAAGACAGUCUUUCCCGGUAGGCCCAGGAACAAAGUCAGACUACACUUACUGGAACCCCCUGGAAUUUGCAGCAAACUCUUUUGUUGGCUGAAGUCCGCGUUUGUGUUCGACAAGUUGGUGCACGGGAGUCUUCGCUCCUGCCUGCGCGGAAUAAUGGCUCCCCGGUGUGCGCCGGCGCCGCUCGCAGCCCGGGCAGAUAAAUCAAUAGUAGUGAAGGAUGCGACGGCGGUUAAUGGCCGAUUGGAGUUUGGCGAGGCGGUGCGGAGCUCACACUUGACUGAUGUCAUCAAGAGGCCAUGCAUGUGAUGAGAUGUUUGGGAAUGUGCUGGGAUGGAUGAGGUGUUACUCAGCUCCUCCACGCUAACAAGAUCAAUAGAGUGCCUGCAAGGCCCUCACUUGGCCCCUUUUCACCACAAAUGUCCGCCGUAAUGCCGAAGUGACCUUGGGAUAUGCUAAUGUGUAGGCCUCGCUACAUGUCUUGAAAUUAACAGAGCGUAAGGUCUGAUCCGCCCUACGGCUAGAUGAGUCAGGCCUGUUUGAACACCCACAACUUUACAAUAAAAAAAAAAAAUCAGGCUUCGCUACACUUCUUAAUAUUUAGUCUGGAACUUUUUUUCA